rnacentral:rRNA from 1 species
AAUUCAAGCGUUUUGAAGGGCAUCUGGUGAAUGCCUUGGCAAUUAGAGGCGAUGAAGGACGUGGCAGGCUGCGAUAAGCUGCGGUUAGGGGUCAACACCCGCUAUACCCGCAGAUCUCCGAAUGGGGAAACCCAUCACAUUAGUGAUAUCUUAUAGUGAAUACAUAGCUAUAAGAGGCAAACCAGGGGAAGUGAAACAUCUCAGUACCCUGAGGAAAGGAAAUCAACCGAUACUCCGUUAGUAGUGGCGAGCGAACGCGGACCAGCCCAGUGGCAUAGUUGUAAUAAGCAGAAGUGUCUGGAAAGUCACACCAAAGUAGGUGAUAGUCCUGUAUGCGUAAAAAGCAAUUAUGUCCUCGAGUAAGACGGGACACGUGAAAUCCUGUUUGAACAUGGGGGGACCAUCCUCCAAGGCUAAGUACUCCUAAUUGACCGAUAGUGAACAAGUACCGUGAGGGAAAGGUGAAAAGAACCCCGAUAAGGGGAGUGAAAUAGACCUGAAACCGGAUGCCUACAAGCAGUCGGAGCAUCUUUAAGAUGUGACGGCGUACCUUUUGUAUAAUGGGUCAGCGAGUUAGUCUAUCAUGCGAGCUUAAGCCGUUAGGUGCAGGCGCAGCGAAAGCGAGUCUUAAAUGGGCGAUUAGUAUGAUGGAUUACACCCGAAACCCGGUGAUCUAGUUAUGGGCAGGUUGAAGGUUAGGUAACACUAACUGGAGGACCGAACACACGUAUGUUGCAAUAUGCGGUGAUGACCUGUGACUAGGGGUGAAAGGCCAAUCAAACCGGGUAAUAGCUGGUUCUCCGCGAAAUCUAUUUAGGUAGAGCGUCAGACGAAUACCAUCGGGGGUAGAGCACUGGAUGGGCUAGGGGGGCGCGAGCCUUACCAAACCUAACCAAACUCCGAAUACCGAUGAGUACUAUCUGGCAGACACACCACGGGUGAUAAGGUCCGUGGUGGAAAGGGAAACAGCCCAGACCAACAGCUAAGGUCCCCAAAUCGUAAUUAAGUGGAAAAGCAAGUCGGAAGUCCAUGACAACCAGGAGGUUGGCUUAGAAGCAGCCAUCCUUUAAAGAAAGCGUAAUAGCUCACUGGUCUAAAUAAGACUUCUGGCGGCGAAGAUGUAUCGGGUCUUAAAUUACGUACCGAAGCUUUGGAUGCACUAUGUGCAUGGUAGCGGAGCAUUCUGUAAGCCUGCGAAGGGUAACCGUGAGGUUGCCUGGAGGUAUCAGAAGUGAGAAUGCUGACAUGAGUAACGAGAAGAGUGUGAGAAACACUCUCGCCGAAAUCCCAAGGGUUCCUGUUUAAAGUUAAUCUGAACAGGGUGAGCCGGCCCCUAAGGCGAGGCAGAAAUGCGUAGUCGAUGGGAACACAGUUAAUAUUCUGUGGCCAGUGGAUGUGUGACGGAUCGAGUAAAUUGUUCUUCCUUAUUGGAUUGGAAGGGCUGUGAAUCGGUUCCAGGAAAUAGCCUCCACAUUAGACCGUACCCCAAACCGACACAGGUGGGAUGGUAGAGAAUACCAAGGCGCUUGAGAGAACUGUCCUGAAGGAACUCGGCAAAUUGCAUCCGUAACUUCGGGAGAAGGAUGCCCUGAAUCGAGGCAACUCUUUUCAGGGGGCACAAAAUAGGUGGUGGCGACUGUUUAUCAAAAACACAGGGCUCUGCGAAGUCGCAAGACGACGUAUAGGGUCUGACGCCUGCCCGGUGCCGGAAGGUUAAGAGGAGGAGUGCAAGCUCUGAAUUGAAGCCCCGGUAAACGGCGGCCGUAACUAUAACGGUCCUAAGGUAGCGAAAUUCCUU